GACGAACGCUGGCGGCGUGCCUAAUACAUGCAAGUAGAACGCUGAAGGAGGAGCUUGCUUCUCUGGAUGAGUUGCGAACGGGUGAGUAACGCGUAGGUAACCUGCCUGGUAGCGGGGGAUAACUAUUGGAAACGAUAGCUAAUACCGCAUAAGAGUAGAUGUUGCAUGACAUUUGCUUAAAAGGUGCAAUUGCAUCACUACCAGAUGGACCUGCGUUGUAUUAGCUAGUUGGUGGGGUAACGGCUCACCAAGGCGACGAUACAUAGCCGACCUGAGAGGGUGAUCGGCCACACUGGGACUGAGACACGGCCCAGACUCCUACGGGAGGCAGCAGUAGGGAAUCUUCGGCAAUGGACGGAAGUCUGACCGAGCAACGCCGCGUGAGUGAAGAAGGUUUUCGGAUUGUAAAGCUCUGUUGUAAGAGAAGAACGAGUGUGAGAGUGGAAAGUUCACACUGUGACGGUAUCUGACCAGAAAGGGACGGCUAACUACGUG
rnacentral:rRNA from 1 species